UGGGGAAUUUUGCACAAUGGGGGAAACCCUGAUGCAGCGACGCCGCGUGAUUUAGAAGGCCUUCGGGUUGUAAAAAUCUUUUUUACGGGAUGAAAAUGACAGUACCGUAAGAAUAAGGUCCGGCUAAAUACGUGCCAGCAGCCGCGGUAAUACGUAUGGACCGAGCGUUGUACGGAAUCAUUGGGCGUAAAGGGUACGUAGGCGGCCUAGUAAGUUAGAAGUGAAAUAAUAUAGCUCAACUAUAUAAAGCUUUUAAAACUGCUAGGCUUGAGAGAUGGAAAGGAAAGUGGAAUUCCUAGUGUAGCGGUGAAAUGCGCAGAUAUUAGGAAGAAUACCGGUGGCGAAGGCGACUUUCUGGUCAUCAUCUGACGCUGAGGUACGAAAGCGUGGGUAGCAAAAAGG
rnacentral:rRNA from 1 species